rnacentral:misc_RNA from 1 species
GAAAUGCGAUAAGUAAUGUGAAUUGCAGAAUUCAGUGAAUCAUCGAAUCUUUGAACGCAACUUGCGCCCUCUGGUAUUCCGGAGGGCAUGCCUGUUUGAGUGUCAUGUAGACUCGAUCCCUCGGGUUUCCGAGGAGAUUGGAUUUGGGUGUCUGCCUCUUCUGGCUCACCUCAAAAGACUUAGCGGGAUAGCACCGUAGUCGACGUAAUAAGUUUCGUCGGUAAAAGUGUGAUGUCUGCUCACAAUCGCCCCUGGGCACUUUUGACUCUGACCUCAAAUCAGGUAGGACUACCCGCUGAACUUAA